rnacentral:misc_RNA from 1 species
UUCGUUCCACUUGAUCAUCAACAAUAUCUUUCACAGAAUCACCUUCCUCCCACUGCAAAAUAAGUGAUGCAUAUGGCUCAGUAAUUGGCAUGUGAACUGGGAGAUCUGGAAACAAGCGAUGGAGAGCAUACGCUGCAACUCUGUUUUGUGCAUCCUCAGCAGUAGAAGAAGCAUGAUCCUGACUAGGAAGCUCCAUUGUCACUAGCCCUCCAGCUUUUCUGCUCUUACCCCUCCCACUGGCUUUGCGCAUUAUACUAACUGAGUAACUUGUCAGAUUUCCUUUUCCAGGUAUUUUCGCAUAUUUUGGUGCCUCCCAUCCUGAUCUUUGACAAAGUUGGUGAAGAAAAGCCUUCGGAAUCUUUUGUGGGUCUCCCUUUUUCCAUAUACCUUCUAACUUCUCCAAGUUUUUCUGACUGCAUAACUCUCUCAUCUUCUCUUUCUUCUGCAGUUCUAGUACAGUAGCCAACACAUCAG